UACGUAGGUGGCAAGCGUUGUCCGGAAUUAUUGGGCGUAAAGCGCGCGCAGGUGGUUCCUUAAGUCUGAUGUGAAAGCCCACGGCUCAACCGUGGAGGGUCAUUGGAAACUGGGGAACUUGAGUGCAGAAGAGGAGAGUGGAAUUCCAAGUGUAGCGGUGAAAUGCGUAGAGAUUUGGAGGAACACCAGUGGCGAAGGCGCCUUUCUGGUCUGUAACUGACACUGAGGCGCGCAAGCGUGGGGAGCAAACAGG
rnacentral:rRNA from 1 species